GAUUUUUCCUAUUUCAUAUGUUUUCAUGAUGUAUAAAAACACUUUUUGAAAAAUUCACCAUUCUAAAUUUACAAAAUUGUUAGAAAUUGAGACAGUAUUCAUCAGUACUAUGUGCGAUCCGGGCUGCUACGUUGAAGAUGUCAUGCCACGUGUAAUAACAAACUGUACUACUGAUCUUCUAGUCAAAAUUGUAUUCGGUUAUGGCACGGGAUGGUUUUUUGCUAAAAUGUUCACUUCUCG